CCUACGGGAGGCAGCAGUGGGGAAUAUUGCACAAUGGGCGAAAGCCUGAUGCAGCGACGCCGCGUGAGGGAUGACGGCCUUCGGGUUGUAAACCUCUUUCAGCAGGGAAGAAGCGAGGGUGACGGUACCUGCAGAAGAAGCGCCGGCUAACUACGUGCCAGCAGCCGCGGUAAUACGUAGGGCGCAAGCGUUGUCCGGAAUUAUUGGGCGUAAAGAGCUCGUAGGCGGCUCGUUGCGUCGGUUGUGAAAGCCCGGGGCUUAACCCCGGGUCUGCAGUCGAUACGGGCAGGCUAGAGUGUGGUAGGGGAGAUCGGAAUUCCUGGUGUAGCGGUGAAAUGCGCAGAUAUCAGGAGGAACACCGGUGGCGAAGGCGGAUCUCUGGGCCAUUACUGACGCUGAGGAGCGAAAGCGUGGGGAGCGAACAGGAUUAGAUACCCUGGUAGUCCACGCCGUAAACGUUGGGAACUAGGUGUUGGCGACAUUCCACGUCGUCGGUGCCGCAGCUAACGCAUUAAGUUCCCCGCCUGGGGAGUACGGCCGCAAGGCUAAAACCUUAAGGAAUUGACGA
rnacentral:rRNA from 1 species